CAGAAGUUUUACUUUCUAAUCAGAAGUGACCCACUUCUCAUGGCUAAUCUACUCUCGGCCUGGAGCAUGUCAAGCUCUGCUCUUGUUAAAAACAGAUAAUAAAUUUUUUCUUAGCGCCCUCCUAGCCCACUUGGCAGAACAUCCCGUUUGCAGGCAAGUCCUCCCAAGGACAGCAGACACCUCGUUUUCAAGCAUGUCCGCUGUUACCUUAUCUAAACCUUGAGGGAGCCUCUCGUUUGCGAGCAGGCCCUCCCAAGGACAACAGACACCUCAAGCAUGUCCGCUGUUACCUAUCUAUACCUUGACAGAAUGUCCCGUUUGCAGGCAGACUCCAUCAAGGACAGUAAUAGUAAUGCAGUCACAUCUGAUUCUCUACAUUAACCAGAGAAAGUUAUAUCAUUUUAUACAAAUAUGUGCACGUUUUUCAAGGAGCAAAAGAAAGUGGUAAAAGAAAAACCGGAGGGCAGACAUAUUUUGUUUUUAGGUAGAGAGCUUAUAAAGUAGUAGGUGUGUACAUUGAUUUAUACUAUACAUUAUGGUUUAAUACUACUGGGAGUAGGGGGAGUGCCAUAUUAGGCUUGACAGUUAAGCAGUGGUUUCAUGGAAGGCCCUGCAUGCUUUGCUAAGAGAACUUUAUCCAGCCUGUUGUUACUAGCCAUAGAAAGGCUUAAAGUAGGGUAGAAACAUAUUUUUGUGAAAUUUCCAGAGAGGUCAGGGGGUCCACUGCCAGAACAGUCAAAUGUAUAGUGAGGAAGAAUGCCCUGCCCAUCUGCACCUUGUGAGGAUCAAUCAAACAAGAGAGUGUGAUGUUUAAGAGCUGUGAAUAUAUGAAGGACCAUAGAACUACAAGAAAUCAUUGUUACUCUUGUCCCUUGGUCAUAGUUUAUAUCGAAGAAUGCAGAGAUGCUGUUUCCCAGAAUCAAAAUUUGAAUGUUUUGUAUUGUGCAUUUGUUUCUCUGGAAAGUUUUUGGGGAAAAGAAAAAUUCAGCAUGUAUACUACAUAGCCCAUUUUUAAAAAUGUGAUCUCCACACAUACCUAUAUAAACACAUAUAUAUUGAUUAUCUCUGGGAAGUGGGAUUCCUUUGAAUUCGACUUUUUGUUUCAUUUUAUAUGAGUCUAUUUACAAUGAAUGUAUAUUAAUCUCAAGAGUCAAUGAAAUAAAACUUUCCGAAAUGCC
rnacentral:lncRNA from 1 species